UACGAAGGGGCUAGCGUUGUUCGGAAUUACUGGGCGUAAAGGGCGCGUAGGCGGUGUGUCAAGUCAGGCGUGAAAGCCCCGGCUCAACCUGGGAACCGCGCUUGAGACUGGCACGCUAGAGUUCGGGAGAGGAUGGUGGAAUUCCCAGUGUAGAGGUGAAAUUCGUAGAUAUUGGGAAAGAACACCGAUGGCGAAGGCAGCCAUCUGGACCGACACUGACGCUGAGGCGGCGAAAGCGUGGGGA
rnacentral:rRNA from 1 species